GAACAUUUUACUUAGGCAGGAAGCACUGAAGAGAAGAAUCUUUUUUUCAGUAGACAUUUGUGGGAAAUAAAAAUUUGUUUAGAAGAAUUUAGGCCAAGAGAUAAAAUGGUCUUCUUUUGACUGAGGAGAGAUAAGAUAGAUUUUAAGCAGACAUCUGAAGUUAAAGCAACCUAGUGAUGAAGGUGCCUGCUUCCCCUUCCACUAUAACUCUAAGUUUCUU
rnacentral:lncRNA from 1 species